rnacentral:rRNA from 1 species
GGCCUACCAUGGUGGUAACGGGUAACGGGGUGUUAGGGCACGACACCGGAGAGGGAGCCUGAGAAACGGCUACCACAUCCAAGGAUGGCAGCAGGCGCGCAAAUUACCCAAUCCCGACACGGGGAGGUAGUGACAAUAAAUAACAAUACGGGGUUCUUUCGGAUCUCGUAAUUGGAAUGAGUACAAUUUAAAUCUCUUAACGAGGAACAAUUGGAGGGCAAGUCUGGUGCCAGCAGCCGCGGUAAUUCCAGCUCCAAUAGCGUAUAUUAAAGUUGUUGCAGUUAAAAAGCUCGUAGUUGAAUUUCGGGGUCAGCAGGUUGGUCGUGCCAAUGGUAUGAACUGGCCUUGCUGAUUCCUCCCUCUUGAUGAGCCGUAAUGCCAUUAAUUUGGUGUUGCGGGGAAUCAGGACUGUUACUUUGAAAAAAUUAGAGUGUUUAAAGCAGGCAAGCGCUUGAAUACAUUAGCAUGGAAUAAUGAAAUAGGACGUUUGAUCCUAUUUUGUUGGUUUCUAGGAUUGACGUAAUGAUUAAUAGGGAUAGUUGGGGGCAUUAGUAUUCAAUUGUCAGAGGUGAAAUUCUUGGAUUUAUUGAAGACUAACUACUGCGAAAGCAUUUGCCAAGGAUGUUUUCAUUAAUCAAGAACGAAAGUUAGGGGAUCGAAGACGAUCAGAUACCGUCGUAGUCUUAACCAUAAACUAUGCCGACUAGGGAUCGGAUGAUGUUAAAUUUUUUAAUGACUCAUUCGGCGCCUUACG